rnacentral:tRNA from 1 species
AAGGAUUUAAGUUAAACCAAACUAAUAACCUUCAAAGUUGUAAAUAGAAUGCUUCUUCUAAGCCUUA